CCGAUGUGUGUGUGAUGCAAAGUUUGGUCUCAAGAAUACUCUUACCGUUCAAACUAAAAAAUAAAAUAAAAUACAAUAGCUAAUAUUUCAAGCUUAUUUACAAACCUUAACUGCAGAGAUUAUUAUUUUUUUUCUCCAAGGAAAACUGAACUCUAAGCCAACAUUAAUUGUGGAUAAGAAUCACAAGGGCUUCAACUGAUCCUUUAGCUCCUAUUAAAUGCUACUCACUUGCCUUGCUUACCAGAAC
rnacentral:lncRNA from 1 species